rnacentral:rRNA from 1 species
GUGAGGAAUAUUGCGCAAUGGGGGAAACCCUGACGCAGCGACGCCGCGUGAGUGACGAAGGCUUUCGGGUCGUAAAGCUCUGUCAGCAGGGAAGAAAUGCCAUAUGGUAAAUAAUCAUAUGGUUUGACGGUACCUGCAAAGGAAGCACCGGCUAACUCCGUGCCAGCAGCCGCGGUAAUACGGAGGGUGCAAGCGUUAAUCGGAUUUACUGGGCGUAAAGGGCGCGUAGGCGGCUGAUCAAGUCAGAUGUGAAAUCCCACGGCUUAACCGUGGAAGUGCAUCUGAAACUGGUCGGCUUGAGUACUGGAGGGGAAAGUGGAAUUCCCGGUGUAGAGGUGAAAUUCGUAGAGAUCGGGAGGAAUACCGGUGGCGAAGGCGACUUUCUGGACAGAUACUGACGCUGAGGCGCGAAAGCGUGGGGAGCAAACAGGAUUAGAAACCCGUGUAGUCC